GAUGAACGCUGGCGGCGUGCCUAAUACAUGCAAGUCGAGCGAACGGACGAGAAGCUUGCUUCGCUGAUGUUAGCGGCGGACGGGUGAGUAACACGUGGAUAACCUACCUAUAAGACUGGGAUAACUUCGGGAAACCGUAGCUAAUACCGGAUAAUAUUUUGAACCGCAGGGUUCAACAGUGAAAGACGGUCUUGCUGUCACUUAUAGAUGGAUCCGCGCUGCAUUAGCUAGUUGGUAAGGUAACGGCUUACCAAGGCAACGAUGCAUAGCCGACCUGAGAGGGUGAUCGGCCACACUGGAACUGAGACACGGUCCAGACUCCUACGGGAGGCAGCAGUAGGGAAUCUUCCGCAAUGGGCGAAAGCCUGACGGAGCAACGCCGCGUGAGUGAUGGAGGUCUUCGGAUCGUAAAACUCUGUUAUUAGGGAAGAACAUAUGUGUAAGUAACUGUGCACAUCUUGACGGUACCUAAUCAGAAAGCCACGGCUAACUACGUG
rnacentral:rRNA from 1 species